UACAGAGGUCCCAAGCGUUGUUCGGAUUCACUGGGCGUAAAGGGUGCGUAGGCGGUCGGGUAAGUCUGAUGUGAAAUCUCACAGCUUAACUGUGAAACUGCAUUGGAUACUAUUCGGCUUGAGAGUUGGAGGGGGGACUGGAAUUCUCGGUGUAGCAGUGAAAUGCGUAGAUAUCGAGAGGAACACCAGUGGCGAAGGCGAGUCCCUGGACAGCUUCUGACGCUGAGGCACGAAAGCUAGGGGAGCAAACAGG
rnacentral:rRNA from 1 species